GACGAACGCUGGCGGCGUGCCUAAUACAUGCAAGUUGAGCGAUGAAGAUUGGUGCUUGCACCAAUUUGCAGAGCAGCGAACGGGUGAGUAACGCGUGGGGAAUCUGCCUUUGAGCGGGGGACAACAUUUGGAAACGAAUGCUAAUACCGCAUAACAACUUUAAACAUAAGUUUUAAGUUUGAAAGAUGCAAUUGCAUCACUCAAAGAUGAUCCCGCGUUGUAUUAGCUAGUUGGUGAGGUAAGGGCUCACCAAGGCGAUGAUACAUAGCCGACCUGAGAGGGUGAUCGGCCACAUUGGGACUGAGACACGGCCCAAACUCCUACGGGAGGCAGCAGUAGGGAAUCUUCGGCAAUGGACGAAAGUCUGGCCGAGCAACGCCGCGUGAGUGAAGAAGGUUUUCGGAUCGUAAAACUCUGUUGGUAGAGAAGAACGUUGGUGAGAGUGGAAAGCUCAUCAAGUGACGGUAACUACCCAGAAAGGGACGGCUAACUACGUG
rnacentral:rRNA from 1 species